UGGGGAAUAUUGGACAAUGGGCGAAAGCCUGAUCCAGCCAUGCCGCGUGUGUGAAGAAGGUCUUCGGAUUGUAAAGCACUUUAAGUUGGGAGGAAGGGCAGUAAGCGAAUACCUUGCUGUUUUGACGUUACCGACAGAAUAAGCACCGGCUAACUCUGUGCCAGCAGCCGCGGUAAUACAGAGGGUGCAAGCGUUAAUCGGAAUUACUGGGCGUAAAGCGCGCGUAGGUGGUUCGUUAAGUUGAAUGUGAAAGCCCCGGGCUCAACCUGGGAACUGCAUCCAAAACUGGCGAGCUAGAGUAGGGCAGAGGGUGGUGGAAGUUCCUGUGUAGCGGUGAAAUGCGUAGAUAUAGGGAGGAACACCAGUGGCGAAGGCGGCCACCUGGGCUCAUACUGACACUGAGGUGCGAAAGCGUGGGGAGCAAACAGG
rnacentral:rRNA from 1 species